rnacentral:rRNA from 1 species
CAGCCGUAAACUAUGCGCGUUAGGUGUACUGGUGACCACGAGUCACCGGGGUGCCGAAGGGAAACCGUGAAACGUGCCGCCUGGGAAGUACGGUCGCAAGGCUGAAACUUAAAGGAUUGGCGGGGGAGCACCACAACGGGUGGAGCCUGCGGUUUAAUUGGACUCAACGCCGGAAAUCUCACCGGAUAGGACAGACAUAUGAUAGUCGGGCUGAAGACUCUACUUGAUGAUCUGAGAGGUGGUGCAUGGCGUCAGUGACU